GUUUUGAUCUGUUCCUCUGCAUCAGAAGAGGUUAGGAAGCGUGAAUCCUAUUCAGAUUGGAUGAGGGACACCCUUUCUGGUUGGAGGAAGACCAUUUUCAAGACAAAAGAAUAUGGGUGGCUGCACUCCUCUGCUAGGACUACACCAGAGUUAAUAUGAAAGCUUCACAUGUGAGAUAAAUGCACUCAAAGACUCCUCACAAGUAGCUCUUUGGAGCUUCAGAUGUGAAAUGGAUCAUUCCUCAAUCUGUAAUAGACCCUUCUGUGAAGCUCUUCAAUCAAACCUGAGAAUUCAAGGCAUUUUGUAGCAUCCUAAACAGAAGGAUAUUGAAGGGAGCUGAUUCUGCUUUGAUCCUUGUGCUUGUUGUCAAAGCGCUUGGGAUUGAAGAGACUGUUGGCUACAAUUGACUGUGACAAUUAGGAGAUGAUCAGAGCCCUAGAGUGGAGCACUUAAAGGAGAGGUAAUGAGUGAAUGAAUGAAAAGGCAGGGAUUAUUUGCCAUUCUAAGCGGGGAUUGUCAGAACAUUUCUACUUGACUGAAAUUGUUUUGGAAGGGCAAGCUGUGACUUGUCAUUUCGAGCGUAUAGUCAUUUCUGUCUGACUAAUAUCAUGGAGACUUCAGAGAAGGUGGCUGAGGCGUCUGGCUUACCUACAGUGAUCAGCUCUACAGAGAACUGAAUGAUGCAGUGGGGACAUAAUUUUGCGAAGCCACAUCUUUUCUUUUGUGGUAGGAUUGUGACUGCAUAUACACGUACUUAUGUUACUGACCUUCCCAAGUUGGUGCCCAUCUAGAUCCUUCUGCCUGGUGUCAAACAAGCCAAUAGAAUGAGACUAAGUUUGGUUCAGAAGCAAAGGAAAGCUUUAUUCUUGGAUCAGAGAAUGGAGAGGCGGAGCUCCCGCUCUAGAGCCUCAGGCUUUCCCUAUCAGGUCGUGGGUGGGGCUGCUUUACAGGCUUCUCGUCAGCGGGAGGGGAGGGGGUUGAGUUCUCCCGCGGCGCGCAGCUGUGCCGCUCAAGCUCCAGAUGGCAGUGCCGGGCGCAGCGUCUCUUCACACGGCCCUCUGCCGCCAUCUUGAAUUGAGUGUUGGGCUCCGCGUCUGCACACAAUCUUGAGCUGAGGCGUCCAGUGCGGCCAUUUUGUUCUAGGAACUCUGGUCUGACGCGCCGGGCGCAAGGCCUCUGCACACAGCCGCCUGUGAGCAAGUGAAACGACCAAGGACAAAGAAAAAAAAGAAAGGUUAGGCUUUAUUUUAUUAUCCUCUGUUUUUAUUUCUGGGUGACACAUAUGUAUGUAAAUAUGUAUAUAUGACCAAGUUUGAAACUCUUGUAAUUCUGAUCCUGGUAGCAUCUUCUGGGAAGGGAAAGAUUCAAUGCACUUUUUUUUUUUUUUUGCGGUACGCGGGCCUCUCACUGUUGUGGCCUCUCCCGUUGCGGAGCACAGGCUCCGGACGCGCAGGCUCAGCGGCCAUGGCUCACGGGCCCAGCCGCUCCGCGGCAUGUGGGAUCUUCCCGGACCGGGGCACGAACCCGUGUCCCCUGCAUCGGCAGGCGGACUCUCAACCACUGUGCCACCAGGGAAGCCCUCAAUGCACUUUUAUUUCAUUUAACUUUGUUCACCGUGACGUAGUUGCCAUGAAAAUAGCCAGGUGGGAACUUUACUCAGUGCUCUGUGGUGACCUAAAUGGGAAGGAAAUCUAAAACAGCAUGGAUAUAUGUAUAUGUAUAACUGCUUCACUUUGCUGUACAGCAAGAAACUAACACAACAUUGUAA